rnacentral:rRNA from 1 species
GGUUUCUUGAGAUUGUUAAUAGGAGAUUUGACCUGCCCACUGAUGAGUUUAAGGGCCGCAGUAUAUUGACUGUGCAAAGGUAGCAUAAUCAUUAGUCUUUUAAUUGAAGGCUGGAAUGAAUGGUUGGACGAAGUAAAAACUGUUUUUUAUGGAUGUAUAAAUUGAGUUUAGGUUUUAAGUUAAAAAUCUUAAUUAUAAUUAAGGGACGAGAAGACCCUAUAGAGUUUAAUAAGUUGAUUAAUAGUAAUUUGGUUAAUAAUUAAUUUUAUGUUAUUUUAGUGUUUAUUAGAUUGGGGUGAUUUUAAGAUAGAUAAAACUCUUAAUUUUUUUUUAUUUUAUUAAAAUAUAUUUUUGAUCCAUAAAUGUUUAUGUUUAUAAGAUAAAAUUACCUUAGGGAUAACAGCAUAAUUUUUUUUGAAAGUUCUUAUUGAAAGAAGAGAUUAUGACCUCGAUGUUGGAUUAAGAUGAAUUUUAGGUGUAGAUGUUAUAAAAAUUAAGUCUGUUCGACUUUUAAAAUCUUACA